GAGACAGAAUUCUGUCUGUCUGCCCAGAGAAUGUGAAUGUCACACUGGAAAAUGUGAAACAUCCCACCAGGGAAAAUGUUUCUUUAACUCCUGUAAUGGUGUCAAGGAGAGAAGCACAGCAGCCCAAGAGCUGGGAAUGUUUUCCAGCUUCCUCUGGAGAACACUGAUAUCCCCCCUGGCUGUUUAUCCAAAAAUUCCUGCUGCUCUGUGAUUGGCAGGCCAAGAGAAGCAAGGCUUGUUUGUGUGAGAGGAGCACAGGUACCUCCUGCAGCUGCUCACAGCAGGGCUGUGCUGGGGAGGUGUUGCCUGGAAUUGAUUUGUCUGACUGAUGAAUUUAUUCCUGCUGCUGAUUAAAACUGUUUGUCUCAAUGAAACCAAACGCUGCACGCAUUAAUGCCUGGAAAAUGUAAAAUCCUGAGUCUAGUUCUUGCUGUGACAGUGCUGAUCCUUCAUCUAAAGCUCAGCUUUGAUUCCCUUCGCAAGCACAGGGUGAAAACCAAUUCUGAGCUGCCCAAUGGAAAAAAUCCUGGAAUUUUGAUGGCUCUGUUCCAGUGCAGUGAUAAUUUGCCUUUUAGGUUUGUGUGAUGCCUUUUCCCCAUAGUUUUUUUUUGUUGUUUUUUUGUUUUAAACUUUUGGAGAAUGCAGAAUUUUCCAGCUGGGAAUAGCAAACUUAUUUGGUUUUAACAAAAUAGGUUAAAAGGUCAAAAUAGGUUUAAAAGUUUGUUUUAACUUUUGGAGAACACAGAAUUUUCCAGCUGUGAAUAGCAAACUUAUUUGGUUUUAACAAAAUAGGUUUAAAUAGGUUAAAAGGUCAAAAUAGGUUUAAAGGUUUGUUUUAACUUUUGGGGAACUCAGAAUUUUCCAGCCGUCAAUAACAAACUUAUUUGGUUUUAACAAAAUAGGUUUAAGUUGGUUAGAAGGUUAAAAUAGGUUUAAAAGUUUGUUUUAACUUUUGGAGAAUGCAGAAUUUUCCAGCUGUCAAUAGCAAAUCUAAAUUGGUUAGAAGGUUUAAAUAGGUUUAAAAGUUUGUUUUAACCUUUGGAGAAUGCAGAAUUUUCCAGCUGUGAAUAGGUUUAAAUUGGUUAGAAGGUUAAAAUAGGUUUAAACAGGUUUAAAAGUUGGUUUUAACUUUUGGAGAAUGCAGAAUUUUCCAGCUGUGAGUAGGUUUAAAUUGGUUAGAAGGUUAACAUAGGUUUAAAUGGGUUUAAAAGUUUGUUUUAUUUUUGGAGAAUGCAGAAUUUUCCAGCUGUCAAUAGCAAAUUUUAAUUGGUUAGAAGGUUUAAAUAGGUUUAAAAGUUGGUUUUAACAUUUGGAGAAUGCAGAAUUUUCCAGCUGUAAAUAGCAAACCUGGCUGGAGAUGGGCUAAAACAUUGGAUCUGCUGAUGAGACAAGUGAGGCUAUUCCUGAGCCUUGGAGAGAGGGGAAAUUUAUAAAUAAAGUGUUGUGUGAGUUAGGUUUUGGCAAGCAGAGGGGGGAACGUGAAACCAAGGCGGGCAGGAAGAGGGUGAGAGUUGGUGGUGUAGGAUUGCAAACCUGGGGAAUAGCAGGGGCAGGGCAGGAAGUCUGUGUGCCCUGGAAUUCUGCUCCUGCCACACAGAAGCUUUGCCUGACAUCAACUUCAUGAAAAAUUGCAGCAGCUCCUGCAGAGCCUGGCGGGCUGCGAGCUCAGGGCUGUGGCCUCCACUCAAAUCCUUCAAAUCCCAUCAAAUCUCAAUCCCAAAAUCAGUGUUUGGACACAGAACUCUUCUCAGAGAAAUAAAGGAGAGAAAAGAGUGGAAAAGGGAAAAGGAAUGGGGAGGAAAGAGUGUAAAAUAGAAAAAGAAUGGGAAGAAAAAUUUGAAUUAUAACAUGCGUCUAACUCAGUAACUUUUACAAGCACACAAAAUGUUCCUUACUGAUAAAGCAGCCAAAUGCUGUAAAAUUUUGAUUUCCAGGCACUCCCAUAUCUGUUUGGAUGUUUCAAUGCUUUCCUUACCCUCAUCAAAGCUCCAUGAAUGAGGCUGGGAGCAGCUGGGGAGAGCAGCUACAGGACUGAUGUGAAUCCCCAAAGCAGUGUUUGGACACAGAACUCUUUCCAGGGAAAUAUAAAAGAGAUAAAAGAGUGGAAAAGGGAAAAAGAAUGGGGAGGAAAGAG